rnacentral:ncRNA from 1 species
CUAAGGGGGGGCUGGUACGCCUGAGACACGAUUCGCGUGGACCCUUUGAACCUGAUCCGGUUAAUGCCGGCGUAGGGAUAGGAUCAU